rnacentral:rRNA from 1 species
UACGGAGGGGGCUAGCGUUGUUCGGAAUUACUGGGCGUAAAGCGCACGUAGGCGGCUUUGUAAGUUAGAGGUGAAAGCCCAGGGCUCAACCCUGGAAUUGCCUUUAAGACUGCAUCGCUAGAAUUGUGGAGAGGUAAGUGGAAUUCCGAGUGUAGAGGUGAAAUUCGUAGAUAUUCGGAAGAAGCACCAGUGGCGAAGGCGACUUACUGGACACAUAUUGAC